AUGCCCUGCUCCUGCACUGCCAAGAACAGACCUGAUUAAGUUGAUGCACUUUGUUUCAGUUCCAGGAAGUUUCCACUGCACUAGAUUUCCAUUGCAUUCAUCAAUGAGGGAAGCCAAGGCAGCAAUGGAGUCGUCAACCAGAGCCUAGAGUGCUACAGAGGGCCGAGCUAGAGAUGUGACCCAAACCCUUUGGAGGAGCUCAGAAUAUCAUACCUGCCUGGAUGGUGACAUGCUCCUGCCUUGGUGCUAAUGGAAUGAACAUCUGAACCUUCUCCUAUUUGGAAUCAUGCAAGAAUUUAAUAUCUGCUUCAUGCACAGUGAAUGCAUACCAUAUGAAGGGCAUAUUUUGAUCGGAGAUUUACUGCAACAGAAACCGCUGUUGGAAAUGAAGAUACAGCUAUGAUGCAGCCAUCCACUCUUGGGAAGAUACCCAAAGGAUGCUCUAUUCUACCACUAAGACAUUUACUCAGCCAUGUUGACUGCUGCUCAAUUCUUAAUAGCUGGAAACUAGAAACAAUGUAAAUGUCCCUCAACAGAUAAAUGAAGGAGAAAAUGAGGUACAUUUACUCAAUGGAAUGUUUCUGAACCAGUUAACAAGUGAAAUCAUGAAAUUCCCAAGUAAAUGGACAGAAAUUAAAAAAUAAUCCUGAGCAAGGAAGAAGUGGUGAGAAUGUUGCAUCCUUGAACUGAGAAGCUGCCUCUGUGCUCUUUGCAGAGAAGAAGAAAGUUUGAUCGUAGUGGCAGGCUUGAGCAACUUGGAUGCACCGAGUAUUGAUUUCCCUCCUGUAUUUAUUCUAUUCUUGUGCUAGAAAACGUUAAGUAUCUGGAGAGGGAUGGCAAAGUGGGCAUUUUUAAAACAGUUUGACAUGAUUGAAAGCCUUCAUAUUUGUCAAGGUGUUUCCCUGCUAUAUGAAAUUGUUUUCUUUUCACAUAUUUUUGUUCUCAACGGAUGUCAUAUCCUUGAAAUGUGGCAGAUUCAUCUCUCUGAAGUAGUGUUUUUUCAGUUCAACAGCAGAGAAGGGUCAGUUGUGGAUUGGAGAGCUAUGGUAGGCUGGCUGACAUAGCCAUAUACCUCUGUUCUACAUUUUACUAAUCUAGCAGUUGAUGGGUAAAAGAAAUUGUCUGAAUUCACUCUGCAGCAUACAAAUCAAACUGUGCUUAGCAUCAUAUCCUAACCAGGAAUAGAAACUUGUUGUAUCUCAAAAGCUACCAUUGCUCCAAAGAUGGCUUCUCUUGAAUUGUAGAGUCAGCUGAACUACAAUUCAUAAAUGACCAGCCAUUGGAGCCCAGAAUUUCUGUAUCUACCAAGCUUCAAUGGGACAUGUGGAGUAUGUAACAUGGUUACCCCUCCCAGUUUCCUGAGUUCUUUGAAACAGAACCAAUGAAGGACAACUCUGUUCAGGUCACUGGAAAGAAUUUUUCCCUUUCUUUACAAUUCAUUCAGAACUGUUUUGGAGUUUUUAAAGAGAUCAUUUGUUAUCGACAACAAUCCUUACUUCACACGGUUUUGUGUUCUUCAUACCUCUUGAGAUAAAAUUGUAUUAAAGCUUCAGACUCACUUUAUAAAGUCAUCUGGAAAGAAUUGGAAACCUGGAAAAUGUUGCCUUUUGCAUCCUUUAAUAAUAUCACCUUUCCUCUAAUACAACCAAAUAUAAUAAGAUUAAUAAUGACUCAGUUUACUAAAACAAGUUUCCCUAUUUUUUUUAUAUGGAGGAUGUUUCCAAUUAGUUGUCUGGAGCCAAUGAUAAUUAUCGAAGAUUAUCAGUAUAGUUUUUUUACUCUGAAUGUCUUGCAUAAGUUUGUGGAACACUUGAUGGCUCUUGAUGCCAAUAAUUUAUAUCUGCAUGUAUGUGUAAAUAAUUAGGUAUGCGAUCUAGAAAAGCACUAGGUAACUGAAACAUUAACAUCUGCUGAAACACGUCACAAACAUGGAAUAAUUCUAAUGAACCUAAUUUAAAAAAGAGCAUUACAUAUCUUGGUAAGUAUCCAAGCACAUUAAUGUAAAAAGAAGUCAGCUCAUUUGUAUUGAACUUGGAAUGAACCAGCACUGUACGCACAGUUGUUUGUAUUGCCCAUGGAGGCUGACUUAAUCUAUUUGGGUGAAGAUGGCAGACUGUCAUGAAUAUCUACUUUUCAAAUUGGCAUGAAGCCCCAUAAAAGUGCAGCGUCUGUAACAGCAGAGACUAUAGGAUCACUGCUCUUAAAUGAAGCCGGGCCAGAAAGCACCAUCUGCACAGAGAAAACCCACUAAGCCACAGGACAAGAUACCUUUCCUCACUUACUAUUUUCAAUCAUGUUAUUGGUCUCCAGUCUUCUUCAGUGAAAAUGCCACCCCCAAUGGUAUAUAUUGAGAAGUAAUGCAAUCAACACUGUUCUGAUGCCAGGGCCAGUUUUUAAAGACGUCUCCUUGCUUGCUCAAUGACUUUCGUGUUUCAUUGAUUCUGGGAACUUGAGUUCGCCGUGAAUAUAUAUGACCGAGUGCUCUUUCUUUUGCUUUUAUGGCUUUACCAUAGCAUAAAUUGCUGCAGAUGUGAAUGUUCUUAUUGGCAUACAUGGAAGAAUGACCUGACUUUAUAGUGCUAUUAUAAAAGCAUGGUUUAAACUAGCCUUUCAAUUUUUGUGUGACAGAAGAAGGGGCUAAUCUUAUGGGUCUUGACCUCUCUCAAGCAUUCAAACUAUUGAUGACAGAGCACAUGGCUCUUUACGUUCCCUGCUUGUCAUUUUCUUGGCCUUAGAUGGUUCCCAACCCAUUUUAGUGUAUAUAUGCCUUAUUGACGUCCUGUGUUGUUGGCUAAUGCAUCUUUUCAGACUCAAUGUCUCUGGCCUACAUUUCUGUAAGGAUUAAGAAAAGAAAUGAAGAUUCCAAAUAAGCUCUAUGACUGGUUUUCUGCAUUUCCAGACCAUGGCAAGUGAAGUACCCUUGGAGUUCUGGACUCCCCACCUACUGAUAAGAAUGCCCAAAUCAACACAUUAUUUCAAGCAACUGCUUGACCAUUCAGCUUCGUCACUCAGAUUUGAUCACUAUACUGGAUUUUUCUUAGGGGGAAUCUUAGGUAUUAAUUAUAGCUGAAGAUGUUUCAUAAAAUUCAAAUUACUUCUAAAUUAAUACAACUUCAAAGUGGAUUCUAUCUGAUGCUGGUCUUCUUUUAGCUGUUUAUCAAAAUGUAACAUAAAUUUAACAGUAUCAUUUCUAAUUUUUAUAAGAAUAUAUGAAUGUGUAAUAUAACACUGUGAAAGAUGUGCUAAUAAAGAGGAAGACA
rnacentral:lncRNA from 1 species